ACAUGAUCACGGACGGACGCGCCAUCAAGCCAAGCCAGCUGCUCCGUCCGGCUAAUCUAAACCACUCAAAACGGUAGUACUACAACGGGAGCAACGUCGCCGGUCUAUUCACAUCAGAUAAUAAUAAUGGCUGCUGCUAAGAGGCAGCACCUUGUCCUCUUCUGCUUCCCCAGGCCACACACGGCUUGUCAGUCAGGUGAUGGCUGCUUAGCUUCGCUCUCCAGCAACUUUAGCCACGUCCCAUCGCUUUAUAUUAGCACCGAAAACCCCUCCCAGAUCCGUGCGCGCGCGCGCGUACGGUACGACACGA
rnacentral:lncRNA from 1 species